rnacentral:misc_RNA from 1 species
GCUUCCGUUACGACAAGCGCCAUUUUGUGGCUAUUUUGUUGCUUCAAAUUAAAAUGUAAACCCAUGUGUAAAGACAUUGCCUUAGGCUUUAAUCGACUAUUACUCGAAUAAAAGAUGUUUCAUUGGAAGUUUCUGAAAUGAUGAAAUCAUAUUUAAACUGAGAUCUUUAUUGAAAAGAAAAUGGAUGACUCUGGAGGAGUGCUUACCAUUCCAAUGCAACCUAUGCAGCCACCCCAAGGGUUUCAAACAUUCCAGAGGCCAAAUGCUCGGACAUUUCAGAGAAGAGGUCCACCCUCAGACGCUAAAGGCGGAGCUCAGGAUGGGGAUACCUCAACAGGGCCUGUCAUGUUUGAUGGGAAACGAAUGCGAAAAGCAGUUCAUAGAAAAACAGUCGACUACAACUCUGCUGUUGUUCAGUAUUUAGAGGUACAUUCUUAUAAAGCUUAGUGUACAAAAUUGUUAAGAACUUCACUAGGACAUUGUCACAUGUUUUAGCUCGUUAUACCAGAAAUUGACCCAAAAAUUUAUCUUGUGAUAAAAUUAUGCUAUCUCUAUAGUGUAUAUUCAAAACAUGUACUUUAUUAAAAAGAUCAACACAUCUUAUUUUUCAAUCCUUAGUUUUAUUUAUUAAUGAAGAUAGAUGAUACAUGUACAAAUACUUUUUACAGAACAGAGUUUGGCAGAGAGAUUACAGAGAUAUGAGAGCCAUCCAGCCAGACUCCUUAUACCAAAUUGAUGUAAGUCAAACUAACAAUUCACAAACAAAAAAUAAAAAGAACCUAUAUAUAUGAAUCUUUAUAUUUUCUUUAAUUCAGUUUACCUUACCUCAUGGUAUAUGAACUUUGUCUUUGAAUUUAAGAGGAAAAAAUCAUGACAAGUAGUAUUAAUUUAUGUUUGUUUUAUUUUUGUUUCAUUUUGACUAUUCAAAACAAGAACCUCUGUAUUUCAUGAAAAAUGUCUUUUCAGAUCCCACCACCUAUUGCCAUGAUAAAUAACUCAAUGAAUUGUGUAACCACAAAAUUUAUUAGAGCAUCUACCAAUAAAUUUAGAUGUCCGAUUUUUUGUCUGGCUGUAAGUAUAUACAGUAAACUGCAAGUGUAUGUCAACAGCUUUUACGUGCUGCAAUUAGCACCUAGUUUUUUGUAAUCUUAAAGAUAAAGAUGAGAUUUCGCAAUUUCAGAACUGUGGAUACAGUGUAAUUAUAUAAAAGGAUAGAAUUUUAAGUUUUAUAUAUAAUGCCUUAAAAAUGGAAUGACUGAACUAAGAGUAAAUAUUAUAACGUACAUGUAUUUUAUCUGUGAUUAUACAGUGGACGCCUGAAGGCAGAAGAUUGGUAACUGGUGCUUCUAGUGGAGAAUUCACUCUCUGGAAUGGUCUGACUUUCAAUUUUGAAACUAUUCUCCAGGUAUUUACUGAUACAUCCAUAUACACAAAUAGCACUGCUAUGGAAAUAUUAUGUAUUUUGGAGAAAAAUUUUAACAAAGGACUAUUAAAUAUGGCCCCCUUAAAUGAACAUUACCAAUUUACUGUAAUACUUUGCUUCCUUUGUACAGAUAUACUCGUAAAGUUUUUUUGUAAUUUUCAUUUUGAUUUAAAUGCCCACACUGUUAUAAUUAAGUGACAAAAAAUUUGCUCUUGUUUAAAGUGGCGCUAUCUAUUUUCCA